rnacentral:rRNA from 1 species
GAUGAGCGCUGGCGGCGUGCCUAAUACAUGUAAGUCGAGCGAACGGACGAGAAGCUUGCUUCUCUGAUGUUAGCGGCGGACGGGUGAGUAACACGUGGAUAACCUACCUAUAAGACUGGGAUAACUUCGGGAAACCGGAGCUAAUACCGGAUAAUAUUUUGAACCGCAUGGUUCAAAAGUGAAAGACGGUCUUGCUGUCACUUAUAGAUGGAUCCGCGCUGCAUUAGCUAGUUGGUAAGGUAACGGCUUACCAAGGCAACGAUGCAUAGCCGACCUGAGAGGGUGAUCGGCCACACUGGAACUGAGACACGGUCCAGACUCCUACGGGAGGCAGCAGUAGGGAAUCUUCCGCAAUGGGCGAAAGCCUGACGGAGCAACGCCGCGUGAGUGAUGAAGGUCUUCGGAUCGUAAAACUCUGUUAUUAGGGAAGAACAUAUGUGUAAGUAACUGUGCACAUCUUGACGGUACCUAAUCAGAAAGCCACGGCUAACUACGUG